GAUCAGCAUCAGACUGGACAGUUUCCUUUUGGUUCCCUUGAUGCAAAAUGUGCCUGUUGAGAAGGCAUCUGUUUAAGGGAUUACAGAGUGCAAAUGGUGAUGUGCAGAGACCUCUAGAGACCACAGCGCCUUACUGCACUUAAUCACAUGCAGAUAGGGCUCCGUGCCGAAGUCAUGACGUCAUCGGGAACGGUGAAACUGGCCAGAAAAUGAACAAGGUAACUAGCUAUAGCUUGAGAGGCCGGACUCGCAAAUGUCGCAUGGUUUGGGCUUUUCCCGCCCCCCUACCUCCACUUCUAAAUGAGUUAAUUAAGAGAUAA
rnacentral:lncRNA from 1 species